GACGAAGGAUGCAAGCGUUAUCCGGAUUCAUUGGGUUUAAAGGGUGCGUAGGCGGUCCUGUAAGUCAGUGGUGAAAGCUCUCAGCUUAACUGAGAAACUGCCAUUGAUACUGCAAGACUUGAGUACAGAUGAUGUUGGCGGAAUAUGACAUGUAGCGGUGAAAUGCAUAGAUAUGUCAUAGAACACCGAUUGCGAAGGCAGCUGACAAAACUGUAACUGACGCUGAGGCACGAAAGUGUGGGGAUCAAACAGG
rnacentral:rRNA from 2 species